rnacentral:rRNA from 1 species
AUUGAACGCUGGCGGCAGGCCUAACACAUGCAAGUCGAGCGGAUGAGAGGAGCUUGCUUCUCGAUUCAGCGGCGGACGGGUGAGUAAUGCCUAGGAAUUUGCCUGGUAGUGGGGGACAACGUUUCGAAAGGAACGCUAAUACCGCAUACGUCCUACGGGAGAAAGCAGGGGACCUUCGGGCCUUGCGCUAUCAGAUGAGCCUAGGUCGGAUUAGCUAGUUGGUGAGGUAGUGGCUCACCAAGGCGACGAUCCGUAACUGGUCUGAGAGGAUGAUCAGUCACACUGGAACUGAGACACGGUCCAGACUCCUACGGGAGGCAGCAGUGGGGAAUAUUGGACAAUGGGCGAAAGCCUGAUCCAGCCAUGCCGCGUGUGUGAAGAAGGUCUUCGGAUUGUAAAGCACUUUAAGUUGGGAGGAAGGGUACUUACCUAAUACGUGAGUAUUUUGACGUUACCGACAUAAUAAGCACCGGCUAACUCUGUGCCAGCCGCCGCCGUAACAC